CAAAAGCCUGAAAUGCCGAAAGAGGGUAUCGAUAGUCCAUUGUAAACAUAUCCUUGCCGACUUUACCGAACUGAAGAAUAAUCUUGUCAUGGUCUGACUGUGCUGGCUGUGAUGGUGCAGGUCCUGUUGCGGCAUGAGGAGCGACAGGUGCAGGCUGUGCUGCAGCGAUCAGCUGAAAGUUCUUAACAGACGCAACAGUCACGCGUCCCCUAAAGUUAAGGCACCAACAUUGCAGCUGUUCAUGCCAUCUAGGAGACUUGUUCUUAAGAACUAGAGGUCUCUCCUUCCCCUCCUCCUCGUCUUCAUUGCCAGCU
rnacentral:lncRNA from 1 species